rnacentral:rRNA from 1 species
CAGCUUGCUGGCGUGGAUUAGUGGCGAACGGGUGAGUAACACGUGAGUAACCUGCCCCCUACUCUGGGAUAAGCCUGGGAAACUGGGUCUAAUACUGGAUAUGACCAAUCACUGCAUGGUGUGUUGGUGGAAAGAUUUUUUGGUGGGGGAUGGACUCGCGGCCUAUCAGCUUGUUGGUGGGGUAAUGGCCUACCAAGGCGACGACGGGUAGCCGGCCUGAGAGGGCGACCGGCCACACUGGGACUGAGACACGGCCCAGACUCCUACGGGAGGCAGCAGUGGGGAAUAUUGCACAAUGGGCGAAAGCCUGAUGCAGCGACGCCGCGUGAGGGAUGACGGCCUUCGGGUUGUAAACCUCUUUCACCAGGGACGAAGCUAACGUGACGGUACCUGGAGAAGAAGCACCGGCUAACUACGUGCCAGCAGCCGCGGUAAUACGUAGGGUGCGAGCGUUGUCCGGAAUUAUUGGGCGUAAAGAGCUUGUAGGCGGUUUGUCGCGUCUGCUGUGAAAGACCGGGGCUUAACUCCGGUUCUGCAGUGGGUACGGGCAGACUAGAGUAUGGUAGGGGAGACUGGAAUUCCUGGUGUAGCGGUGAAAUGCGCAGAUAUCAGGAGGAACACCGAUGGCGAAGGCAGGUCUCUGGGCC